rnacentral:rRNA from 1 species
ACGGGAGGCAGCAGUGGGGAAUAUUGCACAAUGGGGGAAACCCUGAUGCAGCAACGCCGCGUGAAGGAAGAAGGUCUUCGGAUUGUAAACUUCUUUUAUCAGGGACGAAGGAAGUGACGGUACCUGAUGAAUAAGCCACGGCUAACUACGUGCCAGCAGCCGCGGUAAUACGUAGGUGGCAAGCGUUAUCCGGAUUUACUGGGUGUAAAGGGCGCGUAGGCGGGGAUGCAAGUCAGAUGUGAAAUCCAUGGGCUUAACUCAUGAACUGCAUUUGAAACUGCAUCUCUUGAGUGUCGGAGAGGUAGAUGGAAUUCCUAGUGUAGCGGUGAAAUGCGUAGAUAUUAGGAGGAACACCAGUGGCGAAGGCGAUCUACUGGACGAUAACUGACGCUGAGGCGCGAAAGCGUGGGGAGCAAACAGGAUUAGAUACCCUGGUA